rnacentral:tRNA from 1 species
AAGUUUAGAUUAAUAAAACCAAGAGCCUUCAAAGCCCUAAACACGAGCGUCAACCCUCGUAAC